AACGGCGCCGAGGGCGGGCCGGGCCGGGGCGGGGCCGCGGAGCCCGGCAGGGCUGCGGGGCCGAGACCGAGACCGAAGCCGAGCCCGAGCCCGGUGUCCGUGUGGGCUCGCCGGGCCCCGCUGUGCGCGGAUGGCCAGCACUCCUGGGAAUCAGAAAGCCACACACUCAGAAAGUUCCCAAGGGAAGAAGUCCCAGCAUGCAGAAGAAGCCAUUUUUUACAUGAACUGCAGAGCAGCUUAUCUGACUGUCUUAAAAAGCAGCUUAGAAAAUAUUAAAUCAAAAGAACAACUCAUUUUAGUGCUUCAGCGGGCUGGAAGAAAUCCUUCUCAGAAGACCAUUAACAAAUACUGGACUUCACAAACAUCUUCACUGAAUUUUGAUGACUUUUGUGCUAUUUUAAAAAAAGAAAAGCCAGCUACAAAAAACGAACUGCUCGAAGCAUUUGGUAAAAUAGACACAGCUAAGGCUGGAUAUAUUUCACAUGAUGAACUUUGUAAAAUUCUUACAACAAGAGGUGAUAAAAUGACCUGGGAGGAAGUGACCAGCAUUACUAAACAAGCUGAUUUUAACUGCAAUGGCAAACUUGACUACAACAAGUUCUGUGAGCUGUACCUGAGCACCAGUGAGCAGUGCUGCAAAGCUGCCAGGGACAGGCUGGCAACUGACCCUCGACUGAGGCAGCAGCACUUUGGGAACCAAACUGAAAACGUCCCUGAAGGGAUCACCCUGCCAGGGCCAAAGCCAUCCCCGAGGGUCUGCAGGAAAACUGAGCACAAACUGCCUAAAGGUGACAGCAGAGCUCCUUCAAGACCUUCAUCAGCUCAAAGCAGCAAAGCUUCCACCUCCACCACGGUCACUGUGGGUGCCAGCAGCAGCAGGAACACAAAGCUAAUUAUUGAGCCUGACACAAUGAAGGAAUGGCAAUGUGCACAAUCCAAGGGCUGCUUCUACCUGGAGGAAAAUGGGGAAAUCAUCAGUCACAAGUACAGGCUGCACUUAGCCCAGAGAUCUGCAGUUUGUGUCACCAUCAAACCUUUCAGAAUUCCCCAGGCACAAGGAAAAUCUUGUCACUGGGUGUCAGUGGAUACAGCUUUGUUUAUUCUGAAGGAAAAUGAAACCCAAGAGAAUUUACAGCUUGUGAGCUUUACUGAACUCCAGAACAAAGAGAUGUUUGGCUGGAGAGGGGAGCUUGGAUCUGGGCUUUACUGGCUGCUCCCUUUCACAACUGGUUGCAGGCUGAGGAAGAGAAAAACCCAAAUCACUGGGGAAGCCAAACUGGUGUGGAGGGAUGAAGAUGGAGAGCUGGCUCUCACCAAUGAAUUCCGAGCUGCUUUGCUGGAUAUUUUUGAAACCAUUGAUCUGGAUGGGAAUGGCCUCCUGAGUCUGGAGGAGUACAACUUCUUUGAGCUGAGGACUAGUGGGGAGAAGUGUGACCAGGAAGCCUGGGCUGUGUGCAAGGAAAAUUUUGAGAUGAAGAAGAAUGAACUAACAAGACAAGGAUUCCUGGAUUUGAAUCUCAUGGAAGCCAACGACCGGGAUGGGGAUCCCUGGGACCUUUGGGUCACUUUGUUGUCCCUGGGCUACAACAAAGCCUUAGAAAUGACAGAGGCCUGCCCCUUUGUCAUUGACAUCUGUGCAGAGAGGUGCAAACCCAGACUCAGAGCCAUUUCCCUGGAGGCAGGGGGCUCCCAGCUCAGCAGGGCUCUCUGCAGGUCUGUGGUCAGCAAGGGAGAGGCCAAAGUGCUGGAUGGCUCUGGGGACAUCUGCAUCCACACCCACAGAUCAGGCAGCAGGAUCACCUCUGUGAUUGAAAAUAAGUCUGAAAAUAAAGUGAUAAUUCAUGUCAACAAUGAGCAGAGUAAGAACUGCCUGAACAAUAGGGGACUGACAGUUUUUGCUGUGGAAGUGGCUCCAAAAUCCAUGAUGGGCAGCUGAAAUAAGAAGACUGAAGUGCACCAAGUUUAGGCUGCAACAGCAAAGAAAGCCAUCUUUGAGGAAAGGAAUGGUUAAAGCUGAAAGAAGGGCUUAGCUGAGAAGUCACUGCACGUGGAAAGAGUUGGGUUUGCUGCAGGUAAAAAACAUGGCACAGCUCUACACAGGGAACCUCAUUUAUUUUCUGAUCCUCCUGCUGCCAGGAAGGGUUUCAUUAUCCAAUUUUUUAAGAGGGCAUAGGCAAAGUCUCCGUGGCAGUUUCUACCUUUCCUGCCCUGGAGGGGAUGAGAUUAGAGAUCUUGGUUGUAUCUGCAGAGUCUUUUUCAGUUUGUUCCAAACCCAGGUAACACCAAGACAGAAAAAAAGUCCAGCUUCUCUUUUUAAUGUUGAACACAGGUACCAACUUAUUUUCUUUGAGGGGAGAAAAAAAAAUCUCUGUAUGGGGUAAUUUCAACUUCUGGAAUGUUAUCUUUUUUUGACAACUGGAGCUAUAACAAAAUUCAGCUUCUUCAAGGCUUUGCUAAAGCUGACCUUCCCUGCCUCUGCAUCUGGAGCUCUGGGGGGCUCCUGCUUCUGUGGGGUGCUCACUUGAGCCAGGGCCUGAAUGUAAGGCCAGUGGGGACAUCCUGCUGCUGGCCACAGGGACAGGCAGGGUCUGG